rnacentral:rRNA from 1 species
CCCCUAGAUGUUCUGGGCCGCACGCGCGCUACACUGAACAGUUCAACAAGUCUUAACCUUGGCCGAUAGGUCUGGGUAAUCUUUGAACGCUGUUCGUGAUUGGGAUAGACCUUUGCAAUUAUGGGUCUUCAACGAGGAAUUCCUAGUAAACGCAAGUCAUCAGCUUGCAUUGAUUACGUCCCUGCCCUUUGUACACACCGCCCGUCGCACCUACCGAUUGAAUGGUCCGGUGAAAUCUCGGGACGGCGGCUCGGUCGCUUGCGUCCGACUGCUGAAACUUGAUUAAACCUUACCAUUUAGAGGAAGGUGAAGUCGUAACA